rnacentral:rRNA from 1 species
UCGAGCGAGUCUGCCUUGAAGAUCGGAGUGCUUGCACUCUGUGAAACAAGAUACAGGCUAGCGGCGGACGGGUGAGUAACACGUGGGUAACCUGCCCAAGAGAUCGGGAUAACACCUGGAAACAGAUGCUAAUACCGGAUAACAACAGAUGAUGCCUAUCAACUGUUUAAAAGAUGGUUCUGCUAUCACUCUUGGAUGGACCUGCGGUGCAUUAGCUAGUUGGUAGGGUAACGGCCUACCAAGGCGAUGAUGCAUAGCCGAGUUGAGAGACUGAUCGGCCACAUUGGGACUGAGACACGGCCCAAACUCCUACGGGAGGCAGCAGUAGGGAAUCUUCCACAAUGGACGCAAGUCUGAUGGAGCAACGCCGCGUGAGUGAAGAAGGGCUUCGGCUCGUAAAGCUCUGUUGUUGGUGAAGAAGGACAGGGGUAGUAACUGACCUUUGUUUGACGGUAAUCAAUUAGAAAGUCACGGCUAACUACGUGCCAGCAGCCGCGGUAAUACGUAGGUGGCAAGCGUUGUCCGGAUUUAUUGGGCGUAAAGCGAGUGCAGGCGGCUCGAUAAGUCUGAUGUGAAAGCCUUCGGCUCAACCGGAGAAUUGCAUCAGAAACUGUCGAGCUUGAGUACAGAAGAGGAGAGUGGAACUCCAUGUGUAGCGGUGAAAUGCGUAGAUAUAUGGAAGAACACCGGUGGCGAAGGCGGCUCUCUGGUCUGUUACUGACGCUGAGGCUCGAAAGCAUGGGUAGCGAACAGGAUUAGAUACCCUGGUAGUCCAUGCCGUANACGAUGAGUGCUAAGUGUUGGGAGGUUUCCGCCUCUCAGUGCUGCAGCUAACG